ensembl:snRNA U5 U5 spliceosomal RNA
ACAGUGUUUUCUCUUCAGAUCAUAUAAAUGUUUUGCCUUUUACUAAAGUUUUCAGUGGAGAGGAACAAAUUUUACUAAAUUUUCCAUCAUAUUGUGAAAACAUCGACACUGAUGCA